AGAGUUUGAUCAUGGCUCAGGAUGAACGCUAGCGGCACGCUUCAUACAUGCAAGUCGAGGGGCAGCAUAAAGUACUUGUACUUUGAUGGCGACCGGCGAACGGGUGCGUAACGCGUAUGCAACUUACCUUUUACUAGAGAAUAGCCAAGAGAAAUUUUGAUUAAUGCUCUAUACUCUUUUUAACUCACAUGAGAUUUUAAGAAAAGCUCCGGCGGUAAAAGAUGGGCAUGCGUCCUAUUAGCUUGUAGGUGAGGUAACGGCUCACCUAAGCUCCGAUAGGUAGGGGUCCUGAGAGGGAGAUCCCCCACACUGGUACUGAGACACGGACCAGACUUCNNCGGAAGGCAGCAGUAAGGAAUAUUGGACAAUGGAGGAAACUCUGAUCCAGCGAUNCCGCGUGAAGGAAGACGGCCC
rnacentral:rRNA from 1 species